GCAGUGCCCCUCUGGGGAUUUUCUGCCUUUUCCAGAAGUGACGGCCAACACAGGCAUCCUGGACGACACCGCAGACAUGGAUGAGCUGCUCGCGUGGAUCAACAGCAAAGAGAGACCCAGCACCAGCAGUCUUGCCAGCGAUGUGGAAAUUGACCAUUUCCUCACCUGCAUUGACGAAGCGGCGAGUGCUCUGGACAGCUGCAAAAGGGAAGAGCU